UUAAAACGUUUGAAUACAAACAGGUUUUUCUUCAGACCGAUUGCUUCGAUUGCAGGAGUUUGCGGUUCCCUCCCCCCCGCCCGGAGAGAACCCAGCGGGGGGAAGCAACAUGUAGAGAUACGCAGAGUGGGUUUCAACAAACGUUGUAAUUCGUUAAUGAUCCUUCCGCAGGUUCACCUACGGAAA
rnacentral:misc_RNA from 1 species